CAAGUCGAACGGCAGCACAGUGUGUAGCAAUACACAUGGGUGGCGAGUGGCGGACGGGUGCGUAAUGUGUAGGGAUCUGCCCUGAAGUGGGGGACAACCCGGGGAAACCCGGGCUAAUACCGCAUAAUACUCUACGGAGGAAAUCCGGCUACGUAAGUAGCUGGGGCUUUAGGAUGAACCUACAUCCGAUUAGCUAGUUGGUGAGGUAAUAGCUUACCAAGGCAAUGAUCGGUAGCUGGUCUGAGAGGAUGACCAGCCACACUGGGACUGAGACACGGCCCAGACUCCUACGGGAGGCAGCAGUGGGGAAUAUUGGACAAUGGGGGAAACCCUGAUCCAGCAAUGCCGCGUGGGUGAAGAAGGCCUUCGGGUUGUAAAGCCCUUUAGGCGGGGAAGAAGGUAUUAGGGUGAUAAGCCUUAAUGCUUGACGGUACCCGCAGAAUAAGCACCGGCUAACUCUGUGCCAGCAGCCGCGGUAAUACAGAGGGUGCAAGCGUUAAUCGGAUUUACUGGGCGUAAAGGGCGCGUAGGUGGUAAAGCAAGUAAGAUGUGAAAUCCCUGGGCUUAACCUAGGAAGUGCAUCUUAAACUGCUUAACUAGAGUAUGGUAGAGGGUAGUGGAAUUUCCGGUGUAGCGGUGAAAUGCGUAGAUAUCGGAAGGAACGCCAGUGGUGAAGACGACUACCUGGACCAAUACUGACACUGAGGCGCGAGAGCGUGGGGAGCGAACAGGAUUAGAUACCCUGGUAGUCCACGCUGUAAACGAUGAGGACUGGAUGUCAGGCAGCUUGGCUGUUUGGUAUCGAAGCUAACGCGAUAAGUUCUCCGCCUGGGAAGUACGGCCGCAAGGUUAAAACUCAAAUGAAUUGACGGGGGCCCGCACAAGCGGUGGAGCAUGUGGUUUAAUUCGAUGCACCGCGA
rnacentral:rRNA from 1 species